CCUACGGGAGGCAGCAGUGGGGAAUCUUGCACAAUGGAGGAAACUCUGAUGCAGCGAUGCCGCGUGAGUGAAGAAGGCCUUUGGGUUGUAAAGCUCUUUUGUAGGGGAAGAUAAUGACUGUACCCUAAGAAUAAGGUCCGGCUAACUUCGUGCCAGCAGCCGCGGUAAUACGAAGGGACCUAGCGUAGUUCGGAAUUACUGGGCGUAAAGCGCGCGUAGGCCGUUGAGUUAGUUAAUUGUGAAAUCCCAAAGCUUAACUUUGGAACUGCAAUUAAAACUGCUCGACUAGAGUUUGAUAGAGGAAAGCGGAAUACAUAGUGUAGAGGUGAAAUUCGUAGAUAUUAUGUAGAACACCAGUUGCGAAGGCGGCUUUCUGGAUCAACACUGACGCUGAGGCGCGAAAGUAUGGGUAGCAAAGAGGAUUAGAUACCCUCGUAGUCCAUACCAUAAACGAUNAUNNANAUGUGUAAUUAUUU
rnacentral:rRNA from 1 species